GUGCCAGCCGCCGCGGUAAUACCGGCAGCCCGAGUGAUGGCCGAUCUUAUUGGGCCUAAAGCGUCCGUAGCUGGCCGAACAAGUCCGUCGGGAAAUCCACGUGCUUAACGCGUGGGCGACCGGCGGAAACUGUUCGGCUUGGGGCCGGAGGACCCGAGGGGUACGUCCGGGGUAGGAGUGAAAUCCUGUAAUCCUGGACGGACCGCCGGUGGCGAAAGCGCCUCGGGAAAACGGAUCCGACAGUGAGGGACGAAAGCCAGGGUCUCCAACCGGAUUAGAUACCCGAGUAGUCC
rnacentral:rRNA from 1 species